rnacentral:lncRNA from 1 species
GUGGGAGUACAGAUUGCUCUAAUAAUGCUCCCUUGCUGCUAUCUUUCCCCAGUUCUGUUUAAACAUACACACACACACACACACACACACACACAGAAGGCAGAUCUCCAAUCUUGUUGCCCAAGGGGAAGUUUGAGGCAGUCUCUAUUUUUUGCAGAUGACCCCAAAUUCCAAAGAAUUUUCUUCACUUGACUUGCGGUGGUGACUGAAAGGAUCAAAUCAGCCUCUUUUCCCUUUUGCUCCUCAGGCAAGAGAUGGCAAUAGCUCCCUGCCAACUGUGGCUAGCUCCCUAAAUUCAAAAUCAUCACCUGUUGGCUUAUCUUCGCCCUGUCCACAGCCUGUGCAUUGUUCUUUUAAACUCCCAUCAAUAGCCUGUUACAAUGUGCCAGGUGUUUCCUGUCAUAACUGAGUGAAAUGAAUUAUAAACAUAAUAUCUACAACUCCAUACUAUAAAUAUUUUAAGGUGAAAGUGUGAUUUAAACACAGUUGUCUUAAGAAGAAUGCAUAUCCAAAUACUGCUAGAGAGAGAAAAUCUUUGGAAUAAGAUAACUUGAAUUAAAAUAUCAGCUCUGACAUGCAUAAACUCAUCUGUAGAGUGAACAUAUACAUGCUGAAUUCAUGGAGUUGACAUGUGAUUCAAUGAAAUAUAGGUAUCACCUAAACAAAUAUUAGGUUAAACCAUAUGAAACUGCCAAUAAAUGAUCAUUUAUUUGGCUACAAUAAUUUUAAUUUUGUGUAGCUCAGGCUAAUAAUGUUAUGGCAAACCAACCAAAAUAAAGUUGUUUUAUCUAUAUUAAUGUCAGACAAAACACAAUGAAAACCAGAAAGGAUCAAUAGAGAUAAACAGAGUCCAUUAAUAAUGAUCAAAUUUUCAUUUCACUGGCAAUAUAUCACAAUUUAAAAUUUGUUGGCAACUAAAUAUGGUGGCUUCAAAAUAUAGAAAAUGAAUAAUGAACAAAAAUACAAAAAUAUAUGGACAAAUCCAUAAUCAUAAUAGGGUAUUUUAGUAUGAAUUUCUCAGUGAUUAAAUAAUCAAAGAAAAAAAAUCACUAAAGAAAUCUAUUUAAAUCUAUCAUUUUACACUCGUACCAGAAAUCUGUGAGGCUUUCAAUUUUUCUACCUCUUCCACACAUCUUUCCCAACACUUAUUUUAUUUCCUUUUUAUGGUUGUUGUACUCAUCGAUUUUUCUGCAUUAAUUUACAUGGUCAUGUGUUUUUUGUUUUGUUUUGUUUUGUUUUGUUUGGGUCCUAUUAAUGUAUGUUGAACCACUCUUGGAUUCCUGAAAUAAAUCUCACUUGGUUAUGGUACAUGAUACUUUUAAUAUGCUGUUAUACUAAGUUUGCUAAAAUUUUGUUGAAGAUUUUUCAUAUCCAUGAAUAUGGAUGUGAACUGAUCUGUAGUUUUUUUUUUUUUGUGGUGUCUUUAAAGGGCUUUGAUAUCGGGGUAAUAUCAUAGAAUGACUUAGGAAGUAUUCCUUCAUCUU